UAAGAUCGCGCUUGAUGCCGGGUCUCGUUGACAAAGAGUAUAUCUGUAUUGGCUCCUGUUAUUUAGUCAUUGGGCAGUGUAGGUUAUUUGAAAGAAACGAUAAAUAGUGUGCGAUAAAUAGGAUACGUUUGGCAGUAGGGGGCUGAUUGCAGCAAAUGGGUUUAUAUUUCAGGCAGUUCCAUAAAACAGUGAAACUUUUAUGUUCAGCUGAGCACUAAAGCAUGGUCAAGCAUGUGCAGUGUUUUCAGUAAUAACAGUGAUUUUUAUAUUGGUCAUACCAUGGCAGGGGAGCCUUUGUGGAUGGUACUGUAGACCCACCUGUGCGAGGGCUAAAACGUGCACGGGUGUGACUACAAGUCGUUCGAUGGUACAGACCCACGAGGGCUGAGCGUACGAAAACAACCGCAACCCCGCUCAACCUAUUUCCACGCGAUGAAGGGAUAUUAACCUUUUUAAGUAUAUAACUAUAUGAAAGAAUGAUAAUACCGAAUGAAGCAGUUAAAAAAGCACAUUGAGAGAACUCAAUGUGUCCAACACAACACACAUAGUUUGUUUUAUAUUAUAGCCUAUUGUAAAAUGUGAUUGAUUCAUUUAAGAGGAUAUUUAGAAUAUUUGGUUGAUUUCAGACUGACUGACCAUUAUAUAUGUGAUGAUGAAUUCAGUUUGACAUUCAAUAUUUUCCCCUUCUGGCUUCCUAAUCUCAAUUGCUAAUUUAGAGCCUAUUUUUCAGAUUAGUCGGUAGUGACCAGAGCCAGGUAGCAACUGGUGGAGAGGUAGAUCCAGGUAGCGGCCACAGCCAGGUAGUGACAGGUGGAGAGGUAGAUCCAGGUAGUGACCAGAGCCAGGUAGUGACAGGUGGAGAGGUAGAUCAGGGUAUUGGCCACAGCCAGGUAGCUACAGGUAGGAAGGUAGCCCCAGCAGUGGAAGAGCAACGGGGGAAGUGGAGACAUGGAAUGCUGGGGAGGAGGGGAGGGGAAGGGAAAACUUAAACUACUGUAACUCUCCAGAUAGGAGGACAAAAGUAAAAAAACGAGGUCAAAAGUAAAAAAACGACAUACAAACAUCAUCAUCAUCAUCAUUUUUUCCCGCUCGGCGCAUUUCAUGGCCUUGGGGCGCUUCUGCUGGAGAGUCGGAAGUCUCUGUUCCAGCAUCAGCAGGAUGUCUGGAUUCGACAUCACAUCGCGACAGGGUCAGGGUUAGGUGCUUUGUCAAAGACACCUCCAUGAAUGUGUAGCAUUGCGAAAGACGAAGAACCAUGAGAAAUAAUAAGUGAAAUAAGUGGGUUCACACGUUUGGAGAGCACAGAGAGGAGUGCUAUCCAAAGUAUGCCAGCGUACCUCCGUUUUGAAAC
ensembl:lncRNA